GGGGUCCUGCGCAAUGGAUGCCCGUGAACCUUGUCAGGACCGAGAGGGAGCAGCAAUAAGCGGUUCCGUCCGUGUGCCGCAGA
rnacentral:SRP_RNA from 1 species